rnacentral:rRNA from 1 species
UUAUCGUUUAUUUGAUAGUACCUUACUACUUGGAUACCCGUGGUAAUUCUAGAGCUAAUACAUGCUAAAAACCCCAACUUCGGGAGGGGUGUGUUUAUUAGAUAAAAAACCAACGCCCUUCGGGGCUCCUUGGUGAUUCAUGAUAACCUCUCAGAUCGCACGGCCUUGCGCCGGCGACGGUUCAUUCAAAUUUCUGCCCUAUCAACUUUCGAUGGUAAGGUAUUGGCUUACCAUGGUUUCAACGGGUAACGGGGAAUUAGGGUUCGAUUCCGGAGAGUGAGCCUGAGAAACGGCUCACACAUCCAAGGAAGGCAGCAGGCGCGCAAAUUACCCAAUCCCGACACGGGGAGGUAGUGACAAUAAAUACUGAUACAGGGCUCUUUUGGGUCUUGUAAUUGGAAUGAGUACAAUUUAAACCUCUUAACGAGGAACAAUUGGAGGGCAAGUCUGGUGGACAAUUCAGCUCCCAUUUCUGCUGACGCCAGAGAUAGUCGGGCAAUUUCACUGCAAAUUGUUAUGCCGGCUAGUCGAGUACCUACUAAUAGAUGGGGAGGUACCGGCGAGACAACCUGGAUCGGGGAAGGCUAAGGCAUCGUGUGCUAUGCUAAUCCCGAGCAGAGCUACUACGGAGUGAUCUGUACAUAGCCUGUGUAGAGCGCGCUAAGGUGUCGGCCAGCUCAUGCUGGCUUAAGGUACGUGCCGUUCCCACUCGAAAGGGUGGCCGCCAGCGGAAGCGCCCAUCACGCAAGCGCUGGCGGGUUCAAUACAUUUUUGGACGUCGAUGAUAAGGCCAGCAGCCGCGGUAAUUCCAGCUCCAAUAGCGUAUAUUAAAGUUGUUGCAGUUAAAAAGCUCGUAGUUGAAUCUUUGGCCUGGCUGGCGGGUCCGCCUCACCGCGUGCACUUGUCCGGCCGGGCCUUCUCUUCUGGAGAACCGCAUGCCCUUCACUGGGCGUGUUGGGGACCAGGACUUUUACUUUGAAAAAAUUAGAGUGUUCAAAGCAGGCCUUUGCUCGAAUACGUUAGCAUGGAAUAAUAGAAUAGGACGUGCGGUCCUAUUUUGUUGGUUUCUAGGACCGCCGUAAUGAUUAAUAGGGACAGUCGGGGGCAUCAGUAUUCAAUUGUCAGAGGUGAAAUUCUUGGAUUUAUUGAAGACUAACUACUGCGAAAGCAUUUGCCAAGGAUGUUUUCAUUAAUCAGUGAACGAAAGUUAGGGGAUCGAAGACGAUCAGAUACCGUCGUAGUCUUAACCAUAAACUAUGCCGACUAGGGAUCGGGCGGUGUUAUCGAUUUGACCCGCUCGGCACCUUGCGAGAAAUCAAAGUG